rnacentral:rRNA from 1 species
GACGAACGCUGGCGGCGUGCCUAACACAUGCAAGUCGAGCGAAUGAAGUUCCUUCGGGAAUGGAUUUAGCGGCGGACGGGUGAGUAACACGUGGGCAACCUGCCCCAUAGAGGGGAAUAGCCUUCCGAAAGGGAGAUUAAUACCGCAUAAGAUUGUAGUAUCGCAUGAUACAGCAAUUAAAGGAGCAAUCCGCUAUGAGAUGGGCCCGCGGCGCAUUAGCUAGUUGGUGAGGUAACGGCUCACCAAGGCGACGAUGCGUAGCCGACCUGAGAGGGUGAUCGGCCACAUUGGGACUGAGACACGGCCCAGACUCCUACGGGAGGCAGCAGUGGGGAAUAUUGCACAAUGGGGGAAACCCUGAUGCAGCAACGCCGCGUGAGUGAUGACGGCCUUCGGGUUGUAAAGCUCUGUCUUCAGGGACGAUAAUGACGGUACCUGAGGAGGAAGCCACGGCUAACUACGUG